AGUGGAUGGGGAGCAACCUAGUUGUGCGUGUGUAAAGGUAGUGCCAAGAAAAGCGAUGAUCAUGUUGAAAAUCAAUUCCCGGUACCCGAAACCGACACAGGUGGGCAAGUAGAGAAUACUAAGGGGCGCGAGGUAACUCUCUCCAAGGGACUCGGCAAAAUGACCCCGUAACUUAGGGAGAAGGGGUGCCACCGAGAGGUGGUCGCAGUGAAGAGGCCCAGGCGACUGUUUAGCAAAAACAUAGGUCUCUGCAAACUCGAAAGAGGAGGUAUAGGGGCUGACGCCUGCCCAGUGCCGGAAGGUUAAAGAAGUUGGUCAGUCUUAGGAUGAAGCUAGCGACUGAAGCCCCGGUGAACGGCGGCCGUAACUAUAACGGUCCUAUGGUAGCGAAAUUCCUUGACGGGUAAGCUCCGACCCGCACGAAAGGCGUAACGAUCUGGGCGCUGUCCCGGAGAGAGGCUCGGCGAAAUAGGAUUGUCUGUGAAGAUACGGACUACCUGCAUUUGGACAGAAAGACCCUAUGAAGCUUUACUAUAGCUUGGAAUUGUGUUCGGGCUUCCUGUGCGCAGGAUAGGUGGGAGGCGUAGAAGGUAUUCUUGUGGGGAUACUGGAGCCAACGGUGAGAUACCACUCUCAGGAGGCUAGAAUUCUAACUUAAUUAAGGACAGUUUCAGGUGGGUAGUUUGACUGGGGCGGUCACCUCCAAAAAGGUAACGGAGGCGUACAAAGGUUCCCUCAGACUGGUUGGAAAUCAGUCGAAGAGUGCAAAGGCAAAGGGAGCUUGACUGCGAGAAGUACAGUUCGAGCAGGGUGGAAACACGGUCUUAGUGAUCCGACGGUGCUGUGUGGAAGGGCCGUCGCUCAACGGAUAAAAGUUACUCUAAGGAUAACAGGCUGAUCUCCCCCAAGAGUUCACAUCGACGGGGAGGUUUGGCACCUCGAUGUCGGCUCAUCGCAACCUGGGGCGGAAGUACGUCCCAAGGGUUGGGCUGUUCGCCCAUAAAGCUGUACGUGAGCUGGGUUCAGAACGUCGUGAGACAGUUCGGUCCAUAUCCGAUGUAGGCGUGAGAAUAUUGAGAGGAGCCUUCCUUAGUACGAGAGGACCGGGAAGGACGCACCGCUGGUGUACCUGUUAUGAUGCCAAUUGUAAACGCAGGGUAGCCAAGUGCGGAGAGGAUAACCGCUGAAAGCAUCUAAGUGGGAAGCCCACCUCAAGAUGAGUAUUCUUGUGUAAGGUCACGGGAAGACGACCCGUAAAUAGGCACGAGGUGGAAGUGCAGAGAUGUAUGAAGCCGAAGUGUACUAAUAGACCGUCGGCUUGACC
rnacentral:rRNA from 1 species